GAUGAACGCUGGCGGCGUGCCUAAUACAUGCAAGUCGAGCGAAGCGGGGACGGGUGAGUAACACGUAGAUAACCUCCUAAACGACACCGAUAAAUUAGGGAAACCGGUGCUAAACUGGAUAUUCAUAGGUGGAUCCGCGCUGAAUCAGCUAGUCGUUAAGGUAACGGUUUACUAAGGAAACGAUGCAUAGCCGACCAGAGAGGGUGAUCGGACACACUGGGACUGAGAGACGGUCCAGAGUCCUACGGGAGGCAGCAGUAGGGAAUCUUCCGCAAUGGGCGAAAGCCUGACGGAGCAACGCCGCGUAAGUGAAGAAGGUCUUCGGAUCGUAAAACUCUGUUAUUAGGGAAGCGGUACCGAAUCAGAAAGCCACGGCUAACUACGUGCCAGCAGCCGCGGUAAUAC
rnacentral:rRNA from 1 species